rnacentral:rRNA from 1 species
AUGGAGGAGAGGUGUUCAGAGAAAGAGUUAUACAUCUGCCAGGUUCUGACGUAUGAGGAUUCGGUGCGACAGGAAGCAGCUCUGAAUACGGUUCCUGUAGAUGAACUUAAGGAGAAGGCGCUUAGUUCAUUGGCCAAGGAAACAUGUGAAAAAGGUGGGAUCUUUCCGUCGACUUUCGCAGCUGGCUAUAUGCAUCAUAGAGCAUCUAAUCUGCAUCAAGUUUAG